rnacentral:rRNA from 1 species
UACGUAGGGUGCAAGCGUUGUCCGGAAUUAUUGGGCGUAAAGAGCUCGUAGGCGGUUUGUUGCGUCGGCUGUGAAAUCCCGAGGCUCAACCUCGGGCCUGCAGCCGAUACGGGCAGACUAGAGUUCGGCAGGGGAGACUGGAAUUCCUGGUGUAGCGGUGAAAUGCGCAGAUAUCAGGAGGAACACCGGUGGCGAAGGCGGGUCUCUGGGCCGAUACUGACGCUGAGGAGCGAAAGCGUGGGGAGCGAACAGG